rnacentral:lncRNA from 1 species
AAGCAGCCUAAAAAAAUGAAUAAACCCACACACACAAAAGAUGAGCCUGAGCAGAAGGACAUGCUGGCCCAUUUUUCUUCGGGACCAUUAACCUCAAAGUUGAAGGCAGAGGCCAAAACUCUGGCUCUGGUUAAGACACAAACAGUGGCUAAUGCCAAUGAGAAAUUUGGAAAACCCCCAGAAAACCAAAAGAAGCUCUCUGACAAAGAUAUGGCAGUCAUCAAGAUCCAAGCCUGGUGUUGGGGCACCCUGGUGCAUCAGGCACUGUGGAACACAGCCCUCAGCACCUGGAUCAUUCAGUGCUGAUGGUGGCUGAUACUGUCCAGGAUUCUGGAGAUGAGGCAGUGGGCAGGCAGCAUUGGAGGACUUCUCACGGGAGGAGUGGGCAGCAGUCACACCGCAGUCCCUAGCCCACAUGUGCCACAUCUGCCAGCGCUAAUGUCACAUCCUCAAUGCUGUCUGCAUCAUCCAGGGCUACUGGAGGUGCCUCUGUGUUUCCUGGGGGCUCAUCAAGGUUCAUUAGAGAGUGAUGGCCAACCGCUUACUCUUGAGCUGGAGAUCUUGAGGAAUUGG